GAAUACGAUCGCGAUGGGGCUCGCAUAAAUCGCUUUAAUGCUAAUAGCUCCUACGAGUUU
rnacentral:ncRNA from 2 species